rnacentral:rRNA from 1 species
CCUACGGGAGGCAGCAGUGGGGAAUAUUGGGCAAUGGGCGCAAGCCUGACCCAGCAACGCCGCGUGAAGGAAGAAGGCUUUCGGGUUGUAAACUUCUUUUCUCAGGGACGAAGAAAGCGAUGGUUCCUGAGUAAUCAGCGACUGCUAACUACGUGCCAGCAGCCGCGGUACUACGUAGGUGGCAAGUGUUCUCCGGAUUUAUUGGGUGUAAAGGGGGUGUAGGCGGGGGCGCAAGUCAGUUGGGAAACCUCAGGGCUCAACCCUGGGCCUGCAUUUGAAACUGUGUUUCUGGAGUGCUGGAGAGGCAAGCGGAAUUCCUGGUGUAGCGGUGAAAUGCGUAGAUAUACGGAGGAACACCAGUGGCGAAGGCGGAUUGCUGGACAGUAACUGACGCUGAGGCGCGAAAGCGUGGGGAGCAAACAGGAUUAGAUACCCGAGUAGUC